GGUUCUGUGGUGCAGCGGAUAGCACAUUGGACUUCUAGUGAUGAAAAGAGCAAUUCAAAGGUCAUGGGUUGGAAUCCCACCAGAGUGA
rnacentral:tRNA from 1 species